CCAUCUUCUAACUUGGUUUCAAUAAGGAUAUAUUUGAAUAUAUGUAAAGGCUUGUUUACACUGCAAUUUUAGGUGAGAUUUUCUUCUUCUGAAGGAUGUGAACGAGUGGAUGAGAUAUCAAUGUUCAGACAAGAGGACACAACAUAUUUAAGAAAUAAUAUUCAUAAUUCAUCCAAUGUUCAAAUGCAUCUGAUUCAGAAGAAAUUCACACUAAAAAUCAUGGCAAAAAUUGCAAGUGCAAUUGUGUAAACAGGUCUUAAAUUUUACCUUAAUUCCAGAAGUGCAUGUUCUCUAGUUUCUGCAUUAGAGAGCUCGAUAAUCCAAGAAUAAAUCUUCUCUCGUUCUGCAUCAGACAAUGGUGCAACUUGCGUAUGAUGAGAAAAUGGCCGAGGCUAAAUUUCGUUAUUAUAAACAAAUUUUAAAAAUUGUGGAAUACUGUAUAUACUGUAGUACCAGGUUUUAGUCUUAUUAAGGAACGUUUGAUCACAUUUGUUGUUCUAACUUCUUUUGGUCUAAAUUCAGUUCUCACAAUCUUUGUCGACAAACACUAAAUACAGUCAAUAAUGCUUGUCAUUAUGGGUAAAAAAAACUACUGUCACCAAAGCUGUGAAAUAUUGACAGGUGAUUCUUAAAUUGUCUAUAAUGAUUUAUUAACCCUAAGUGGGAAUGUGCCCUGACACUCCCUACUUUAUCAUUUUACUCUGUCUAACGCCAGAUGGUUUUACUUGUCAAGGGAAAAAUGCUGCCACUCACUCAUCCUGUUAACCCUUUAAGUGGCAAUACACCCUGAUGCGCCCUACUUUAUAAUUUGUCUCCGUCUAAUGGCAGACAAUUUUACUAAUCAAGGGGAUAGUGCUGCCACUCAAUGGGUUAAAAUUGAGAGGUUUGAAAUCAUGUCAAACUAAUCACUAUUACUUUCAGCUUCAAAACUCG